ensembl:lncRNA
GUUUUAUGUAAAAUAUGUGCUAUUCAAAAGGCAUUUGGUUUCAUUUUAUUUUCUGGUCUCUGAGAUUUUUGAUAAAAUUUAUUUAUUCAAAUGAUCUAGAUAUAUCAGAAUUUGUAUUCACCUGAUACAUGACAAAAAUGUAACUUGUAAGUAAUGAGAUACUUUUAUGUCAACAUCUAGUAAUUCUAGAGGUAUCGAACCUUAGCGAUUAUAUGCUUAUAAAUAUGUUGUAAAUACUGUCUUUUUCAUUUAAUAUGAGAAACUGAUAGUUUAUAAAAGGGGUCAUCAUGGAGCUCACAGUUUUUCCGAUUUGUUUGAAUGCCAGAGAAGAAAUCUACAAAUACUAUGCAUUUACUCUAUUCUCAUUGUAGAAUAGUUGACCAUUUUUUUCAUGUGAGUUGUACAUUAACAUGGCAGGUAAUCCAGUUGGCUUGUUGAGCAGUAAUGAGCCUACUGAAGCACCUGUUUUUUCUACUUUUUGUCAACUUUCAUGAAGAUUUUUGUACUACCUCUUGGGACACUACAGAGUUUUGUAUGUGUUUCCUGGUUGCAUGACAAUAUUCAAGACAACUCUGUAAAUAGUCAAAUACAAAAUUUUAACAUCUAGUCUUAUCUAGAUGGAUAGAGUGCAACAGGGUUCCUUUUGUAAAUACAACAUUGUAAACUUCCAUUAAAUUUCUAAGAGUCAAUUUUUUAACAUUGAGAAUUUUUUUCCACAUUAUGUUCAUUACUUGUAAUUUGGUAGUACUUUAAAAAAAAUAUCUUUAACUUUGGCUAUUCAUCUCAAGGAAAAUCUUCAUUAACCAUGGGGAUAAGUAAGGCUUAUUGAACAUUAAUAGAAAUAAAUCAUAAUUCUGUGAUGUAUUAAUGAUAGGCCAUGAUGUAAAUAUUUCUUUUUAGUCAUAGGUAACAUCUUUUGAUAGGACUUCUACAUCUGUGAGUUACUACAGUAUUAUAUUUACUUUUCAUGACAGCAUUCAAGAUAUGUUGUAAAUAACUGAUGCAUAUCUUAGGUUGAAAAAAUGUUUUUUUUUAAGAUGCGCAUUCAUGAUAAAAGUAUAAGCCUGUAAAUAUUACAUUGUAAUCUAACAUUAAUAAAAUUAAUAUAGUAAAUGCUUUUUCAAUGCAAUAGAUAAGUACUACUCAGUGUAUUGGUAUAAAAUUGUUUCUGAAUAGUUUCUCAUGUAGAGAAGAAUAAGCUAGAGCUUAUUUUUACUUAGAGAGAAAUUACUUACAAAAAAAUUAGACAGCUGGGCGUGGUGGCGCACGCUUUUAAUCCCAGCACUUGGGAGCUAGAGGCAGGCGGAUCUCUGUGAUUUCGAGGCCAGCCUGGUCUACAGAGUAAGUUCCAGGAAACCUCCAAACCAAUACAGAGAAACCCUGUCUCAAAAAAACAAAAAAAAAUUACAAAAAUUUUUAUCUUUAUGAAGAAAAAUUAACAGUGAAAAAGAAAAUUUAAAUUGCAAAUUAAUGAGAAUUUCUAAAAACAUUGUAUCUUGACUAUUUAACCUAGGUACAUUUGUUUAUUUAUAUCUCCAAUUAUAUAACAGUCAUCUUCUGUUAUAGUUAUAGAUCACAUAAUAUUCUUCUUGCAUGAGUUAAAGUUUGAUUUUGUUUACACCCAUAUUCAAACUUUACAAAUUACACAAUUAAUUUGUUAUUUUUAAUUCAGAUUAUUCUGCAAUCUCCAUGCAAUUACUAGAAACGUUUUAUGAUAUUGAAGAGCCUGUAACUUUUUUCUAAAUUUAUUUAUGUAUUUCUACAUUUUUACUGUAAAAAAUUUUAAAAACUUGUUCAAUUUUUAUAUAUUUCUCAUCUAGGAUUAUUAAAGGUAAACAUCUAGCGUUCCCUCAAAUGUACUGCAAGAAAAAGUAGCCUGGAUGACAUUAAAGGCAACAUAAAACAACAUGUAGAGUUGGGCUUGAUGAGGAACACUUACAUCAUCACCUGCCAAUAUUCUACUCAGCUACAUACCGAGUUUGAGGUCAGCCUGGAGUCUUAAGACCAAGUGUCAGAAGAAAACAAACAAACAAAAAAAAAACUGAACACCUUGCUACAAAAAAAAAUAACAGGAGUUAGAAGAAUGUAUAAUUAUUUUCAAAUUUUACAGUUCACAACUAAAAUUUUCUGGUUCUGAAAAUGUUAAUUAGAUUGUUUAUAUAAAAAUUACCAGAUCUAUCAAUGAACAGAGCAUAAGGAUUUUAGCUUAAGAUACAUGUAAUUUAACACUUGAAAUACCCAAUUUCUAUAGAAGUAUUGUUUGUUGUAUUUUAAUUGAAGAAAUGAACAAUUUACCUACAUGUAUACAUACAUGUUUUUCAUUCUUUCAGCUGAUAAUUACACGUAGGGAUUAUUUUCCUGAGAGUUAAUACUUUUGCAUUACAAUGCAUAUUAUUUUACAGUAAUAUUUGAAGAGUUUUCAAGUUAUUUAAAGUAAACAAUGUAUACAUUCAUGGAAAUUUCCUCGUAAGAACAACUACAAUGAAUGAACAAUUUAUGGAAAUGAAAAAGAUAUUCAGGAAGAAUGUUAUAGUUUGAACACUCCUAAAUAGAAAGGAGUAAGAACACUUCUGUCUGCCUUUGCAUUUUAUAAGGGCCUUUGCAAAUAAACAGAUAAACAAGAAGAAAACAAGAAAAAGACAAUUUUUCCCAGUACCAAUCUCAGGAGUGCUGGGUUUCCAUAUCCACCUUUGUACUCCUAGCAGCACUUAUGGUUUAUGAACAUUUUUUGAAGAAUUUUAAGACACUCUGGGAUUUUAUGAUUCAACAAAAAGUAAUGCAUUAGCCAAUGACCCAAAGGAGAAGACGAAAUUUAACGUGGUCCUGAUGUCAGACUUAUUAAACCUACCUUGAUAUUUACUUAUGAAGUCCAAGAAAAUUGACUUUACUAAAGUGUUGCAUGCAAGCUAUAGGUGAUCUGUGCUUUCAGGUGAUCACCAAAAAAAAGACAAUUAUAACCUUCAUAACUGAAAAAAUGUCUCAUGUGUGGUGUAAGUAGUCUUCACAAUCAUUAAAAUUGAAGCAAAUUGACGGAGACUAAUGGAUUCUUUGAAGACAAUUUUUUUGAGGCAUUUUCAUUGCUGCUGUUGGAUUAGCUCAAGAAAUAAAGACAAAACUACAUGGAUCAAAAUAGUAUGAUGGAAGUGACAUUGGCUUCAUCACAUUGUUUUCUUAAGUAUGAAGUGUUUCUCAUAACAAUCAUUUCAUGAUAAUUUUGAGGCUGAUUUGAAGUUAAUUAUAAUUGAUUAUGAACUUUUUAAAAGAAGUUUUCAUUUUGAUAUUCCUUUUCCAAUGGUUUAUGUAGCACAGCCUGAACUUUGAACUCACACAACUUCCUGAUUGGUGAAAUUAUAGAAAUUUAACCAUGUGCUAAGUUCACAGUAGUAUAUGAAGCUUUAUUAUUUCAUAUUAAGUUCCUCCUAAUUUUAACAUACUGUGUUAACCAAAGUUUAUGGAGUUCUCUAGUACUAUUUGGAACAUUUUUCAUACAUAUUUGUAAUUGCCUCUCAUGAGUUUAGGUAAUAGCUUUACAUUUUCUACAUAGCAAGUAUGUUCAUAUGGAAAUAUGAAUCUUACAAAUAGUUCAAAUAAUUUCUAUUGCUUUGAAGUAACAUGCCAAAGUAUAUCAAAUCUACAUUUUGAGCAAAUGACUUAAGAAUUAAUGGAUUUGACCAUUAUUUAGUUAAUAGUACAUUUAUUGUGGUUACUGGUAAUAUAAUAUUGUAACAUACUAUUUAUUUAAUAUUAAAUCAUCAUGCUAUUCAUUUUUAUGUGUUCUGUUUGAGUUUCCAUGCUGAGUAUCUGUUACUUGUUUAUAAGCUCAUUUGUAAUGAGUGUGUAAGCAACUCAUCAUGUGUGUCAAAUGAAAUAUUAUGUGUUUGUAUUUACUUUGUUUUAAUGUUAGGAUGUAUAUAAAUUAUACAUUGAAAUACAAUCAUUUCUCUCAUGUGUCUUUGAGUCUGUUUUCUUUUGUAAGCAUGUUUAUGUUCAUGUCAUAGUCAUCUGUUUUCUCCAUAAUUUUGAAUCAUAUUUUUUUUUACAUUUGCUCCUGUUAAUGUGGCAGAAUGGUAAAAUUACUUUGACUUGUAUUAUUACUCCCUAAAAUCUAGUAUAUAGAAACUGUCACAUAAUUUGCUAUAAGCCUGUUUGCUUUCUCUUCUACUAACUUGUUAUUUAGUGAUGAAUUGUACUGUCUUACCUGUUCUAUUGAGCACCGUCACUUUUUUCUUCUUUUUCAGAAUUUUCCCUGUAUGUAGUCAAUUUUUUCCUCAGAGUUGAUGCUUGAUUAUUUCACAAGUUGGAAAAAAUGCACUUUUAAUUUCGUUUGCACCACAUUUAAUAGAUUAAGUAGGAGAAAAUAGAUUUCUUUAAAAUUGAGUCUUCCUAUACAACAUCAAGGCGGUGGCCAUCUUGACAAAUAUACUAAAUAUACCUUCUGAAGAGGUUUCAUCUACAGUAUCUCCCAAAUACAGUUAUUGCAUUUAUUGCUACUGGAGUCUUACUCUACUCUUUUCAUCUCAUAACUUGUACAGAAGACGUCAAUGAAAUAAAAAUGAUCUGCUUUUGGCAAGUAAUUGACUGGAACAUUCAUUACUUCUUUCAGUAUAUCUUGUGCUCUGAUAUUGUGUGUUACCUAUUCUCUUAUUCAUAUUUUACUUUUUAAAUGGAAGAGACUUUUGUGUUUGUGUAGUACACUUAAUGGGACACAGAUAUUUUAUGAUACUUUGGAAGAUAACAACGUUUUUCUGAAUAAUUAAGUUUCCCUGUAUACCAUUUUUGUUAUCAUUUGUGAGGUGAUGCACUGGUUGCUGUUUACUGACUUUGCUGGCCUAUGUCUGAGGCAAGAGUAUGCAUCUCUGUGGCUUGCCUCUUCUUCAGCACCCCAACUGCAGACUUCAGUGCCAUUGCAAUUAUGAGUAUGUUGAGAAAUGUUGUCCUUGAAUUGGUAAGGAGAGCCAUAAGGAUUAUGUGUUAUAGACUGUGUGGCAUCAUCAUUUUAUUGGUAUCACCUAUGUCAUUUCAGGUGAAAGUAACAACUCACUGUAUGAAAGAGAUUUGAGUUUAUUACACAGUGUGUUGAUUUUUACUUGUUACUUCUUAAACUAGGUGAAAUCAAUAUAAAGUAUUAUUUGUUGUAAAUAUUAGUUGUCUGUUUCUAGACCAUAAUGUUCAUUAGGAAAUUACUAUCUGCUUUUCUCAAACUGUUUUAAUAAUUGUCAAGAGUAAAUACAAUUGCUAAGAGUUUUUAAAGUAUCUGUGCAUGUAUGUCAUUAUGGGAUUAUGUUCAUAUUAGUUUUCUGUAGAGGAGAGAAAUGAAAGCCAGAUUCUCUGGAGCUGGAGUUAGAGGUGAGCCAUGAUCACUCAAGCCCCAAAUAUUUUAAGAUUAUUUAUUGAUUCCUUUCUUUUGUGUCAUUUACCAAUACAUUGUUUAAUACAUUGUUUAAUAAUUGUUUAAUACAGUAAAGUAGCUCAGGGGAAAAUGCUGAUUUUUAUCUAAGGCUGGCAACCCCAGUUGGACCGUGGAACCCAAGUGGUACAGAAUAUAGCAGAGAACAGAAGACAUAAUGCAUUUUUUAAUCUCAUAAAUUUUUAGUACAACCCAUGUCUCCUUAGUUAUUAUGUUAUUAUGGCAUUUCAGCUGGAUUCUAAGGAGUGACCUGUGUUCUUUUUUGAUACCCAUUUAAAUUUAUAUGCAGUGGAGUUCCUUUUUUAAUAGCAAAGUUAAGUUAAUGUAUUUCAGUUCAUCUCUUAUAUUAGCAUUUUAUGAGUUCAGAUUCAUUUUGAGUCUAAUCUGACACAGUGGCAGUGCAUAAAACACAGGAUAAUACAAGAACCUGUCAGUUUGUGUUAGGGUGUCACAAAACAUUCUCUGUAAGGCUCCAGAUUUCCAGAUCAUGUUGUUGCAACCAGGAAUCUGUUCUUGCAGUACAAAAGUACCAAGGGCUGAUGGUUAAACUGUAUGCCAGUAAAAUCAUUACAAUGACCAGAUUUGGGGCCUGGUUUGAACUCUAGCAGAUGAUUUUUUGAACCCUUAGCCUACUGUGUAGUUCCAUUUCCAUCCAGAGGAUUUGAUCUGUUUUGAAACAGAAGAUACACAAGUAUGUCUUUGCUUGUAGUAGUUUCCGAAUUCUUUAUAUCGGUGCUUCUCAACCUGUUGUGACCCCUUUGGGGUCCAACAACCCUUUCACAGGGGUCACCUCAGACUAUUCUAAACCAGGUAUUUACAUGACAACUCAUAACAGUAGCCAAAAUACAAUCACGAUGUAGCAACAAAAACAGCCUGAGGGAAGGUUGAGAAGCACUGCUCUACAUGUCUAUAUGUAUAGUUGUAUUUGUCACUGAAAGAAAUAUUUAAGCCUUUUGAUACUUGGACCUUAACAUGUUUCUUUUUUGUUUUAGCAAUUUUUAAGGUUAGAUGCUUUAGUAUGUUGAAAUAUGCCAUCAACAAUGAUUAAACCAUUCUUUCGUCAUUCAUUCUGAAUCUUCUAUCCCCAUUACGCAGCUGUGAUGAGUUAACCAUUCAUGAUAUAUGUUGUUGUCAGUAACUUUCUUAUGUGGACAUAAGUGGAUAUGGAGUUUGUAGAUGUAUGAUAUUUGUAUUAAUGCUUUUAAAUUUUCUAUAUAAUAUAUCAUGGAAGUAUUUCCAAAGCAGCAGUUUAAGUUUAUAAAAAAAUGCUGUGCUCCUACAUGUGAUGUUGUUGAUGAUGUGGUGUAUAAUGAUAAAACUAUGAAAAUAUAUUUGGGUUCCUACUUCAAUAAUAGUUUUCUAGGUAUGAUAAUAUUAUAUCGUCUUCUGUGUUUUUUGUCAAUAUUGUGAAAUUGCUCUUAAAUGCUCUCUGGGCUAAACCAGAGCUGUGGUGUAAUGACAGUGCUAAUUUUCAUUGAUUUGUGUUUACUCUGUUUCAAAAUAUUUAAAUAAUAGUCAAUCUAAUAGGUGACAUAGUAAUUUUAAAACUUAAGCCUAAUUUAAAUGUUGUGGCCAAAAUGUUAAAAAAUUAAAUAAUUUUCUAGAUGUAGCAACCACUGUUUCCAAAUUUUGCACUUCCUCAUAAAUUCCUUGAGUUCAUACUGUGGAAAUAAGCCUUUUCUUUCUCUUUAAUUUUUAUAAAAUUUUAGAGCCAUCUGCUCUUUAUCUAGUCUUACUCUCUGUAUCCCUCUCACUCAUCAUUCCAUUUCCUCUUUCCCUCCCUUCCCUCCCAUCUUAUUUCUGUUUAUACAUGUCACUUUGUUUUCUGAACUAUACAUUAGUUGCAGAUAUGAUGUUCAAAUUGCUUAAUAUUUUCUUGCAUCUACAUUAUAAAAGUAUAUGUAUGUUCCUUUAAGCCUGGCUUAAAAUUUAAAAACCUUUCUUACUCUGAUAUUUUAAUUUCUGCUUUAUAAUAUUGUAUCAUAUUAUAUUAACCAUUGUAUUAUUAUUCCUUAGAAGCAUGUUUGUUUUCUAAUGAGAGACAAAAAGGGUGAUUCUGUAUAGGAAGGCAUGUGGAGAAGAUCUGGAAAAAGUAGAGGGAGGUAAAAAUCAUACUUAGUAUGUGAGAAAUCUAUUUUCAAUAAAAGGAAAGAAAUUAAGAAUAUCAGCUGCAUCAUCACCUGUAUAAAAGCAUGUCUUAUACAUUGUAUAUAUUUACAUGUCAAUAGUUGCUUUUUCUUUCUUUUUCCAUUCUGUGAAAAUAACUUUACUUACAGAAGCCACAUGUCUUUAUAUUGUUUAAUCAGAAUCCAUUAGUCAAUCUUUGUCCUAGAUAGUAUUGGUGUUCUUGAGAAAUAGCACCUUUCAGGUUUUGAGAUUCUUCAGCUUUUGAUUUUAUUCCUUGUGAAAUAUCUGAGAACAUGUAUUUGUGGCAGGAAUACCCAAAAUAAAUGUGUGAUGCCUUCAAUAAAUCAUGCCAAAUAAAAACAUGUUUAUCAUUGCAAUAUGGAUAUUCAUUUAGUUUAAUUGGGACUGACAUCUUUCUACAAUGUUAACUUUAUUCUUUCUAAGUAAACAUUACAUAGAAAGUUGAUUGGCAAUUAUGUAAAUCUCUUUAUAAUCAAACUUCUGCAAUAUCAAUUUAAAUACUCC